CCUACGGGGGGCAGCAGUGGGGAAUAUUGGACAAUGGGGGCAACCCUGAUCCAGCCAUGCCGCGUGUGUGAAGAAGGCCCUCGGGUUGUAAAGCACUUUCAGUGAGGAAGAACGCCUGGUGGUUAAUACCCAUCAGGAAAGACAUCACUCACAGAAGAAGCACCGGCUAACUCCGUGCCAGCAGCCGCGGUAAUACGGAGGGUGCGAGCGUUAAUCGGAAUUACUGGGCGUAAAGCGCGCGUAGGUGGCUUGAUAAGCCGGUUGUGAAAGCCCCGGGCUCAACCUGGGAACGGCAUCCGGAACUGUCAAGCUAGAGUGCAGGAGAGGAAGGUAGAAUUCCCGGUGUAGCGGUGAAAUGCGUAGAGGUCGGGAGGAAUACCAGUGGCGAAGGCGGCCUUCUGGACUGACACUGACACUGAGGUGCGAAAGCGUGGGUAGCAAACAGGAUUAGAUACCCGAGUAGUC
rnacentral:rRNA from 1 species